rnacentral:rRNA from 1 species
GUGAGAAUGUUGGCAUGAGUAGCGAGAUGUGGGUGAGAAUCCCACAGGCCGUAAACCCAAGGUUUCCAGGGGAAGGUUCGUCCGCCCUGGGUUAGUCGGGACCUAAGCUGAGGCCGAAAGGCGUAGGUGAUGGACAACAGGUUGAUAUUCCUGUACUACCGAUAACCGUUUGAGAGAAGGGAUGACACAGUAGGAUAAGCUAAGCACACUGUUGGUUAUGUGUGCCCAAGCAUUGAGGCAGUCAAAGUAGGCAAAUCCGCUUUGAUAAUGCUGGGAUGUGAUGGGGAGCGAAAUUUAGUAGCGAA